rnacentral:rRNA from 1 species
UACAGAGGUCCCAAGCGUUGUUCGGAUUCACUGGGCGUAAAGGGUGCGUAGGUGGUGAGGUAAGUCGGAUGUGAAAUCUCCGGGCUCAACCCGGAAAUGGCAUUGGAAACUACCUUGCUGGAGGAUUUGAGGGGGGAUUGGAAUACUUGGUGUAGCAGUGAAAUGCGUAGAUAUCAGGUGGAACACCAGUGGCGAAGGCGAAUCCCUGGAAAAUACCUGACACUGAGGCACGAAAGCUAGGGGAGCAAACAGG